rnacentral:tRNA from 1 species
UGAAUAAAAGCUCUGGUGCAGCACCCGACUGUUACUCGGGGGGGAUAAAUAUAUUAUUUAUUCGA